UACGUAGGGGGCAAGCGUUAUCCGGAUUUACUGGGUGUAAAGGGAGCGCAGACGGCAGUGCAAGUCUGAUGUGAAAGCCCGGGGCUCAACCCCAGAACUGCAUUGGAAACUGUACAGCUUGAGUGUCGGAGAGGUAAGCGGAAUUCCUAGUGUAGCGGUGAAAUGCGUAGAUAUUAGGAGGAACACCGGUGGCGAAGGCGGCUUACUGGACGAUGACUGACGUUGAGGCUCGAAAGCGUGGGGAGCAAACAGGAUUAGAUACCCGCGUA
rnacentral:rRNA from 1 species